rnacentral:rRNA from 1 species
CCUACGUGAGGCAGCAGUGGGGAAUAUUGCACAAUGGGGGAAACCCUGAUGCAGCGACGCCGCGUGCGUGAAGAAGUACUUCGUUAUUUUAAGCUCUAUCAGCAGGGAAGAAAAUGACGGUACCUGAGUCAUAUGCCCCGGCUAACUACGUGCCAGCAGCCGCGGUCAUGCGUAGGGGGUCAGGGUUAUCCGGAUUUACUGGGUGUAAAGGGAGCGUAGACGGCAGUGCAAGUCUGGAGUGAAAGGCUGGGGCUCAACCCCCGGACUGCCCGGGAAACUGUACGGCGGGAGUGCAUGAGAGGUAAGCGGAAUUCGUAGUGUAGCGGUGAAAUGCGUAGAUAUCAGGAGGAACACCAGUGGCGAAGGCGGCUUACUGGACUGUAACUGACGUUGAGGCUCGAAAGCGUGGGGAGCAAACAGGAUUAGAUACCCGGGUAGUC